CUGGGGUUGUAAUCGGGAAGCUAUUUUAAGAUUCGACGUUUGGCUAUCUUAUAGUACUGUUAUCUCUGAAGUUAAUGUGAUUUUAGAAAUUGAUCUAUUUUGGGAGAAUCGAUGUUGUAAUAGAUUAGGUUAUACUUCGGAAGGAUUUUUGCUAGCUUGCUUGCGUGAGUCCUGGCGAGAGUUAGGCAGACGGCCCGCCAACCCUCUAGUUCGCCUUAGGGGAAAGUGGGGUCGCCACAACAGGGCACUGAAUUGAUUGUUCUUGGAAGCUACAAAGAGAGGAUCUUGAACUUUAUCAAUCUUCCUCCACCUUGAAGAGGUAUUCACAUUUCAGACGCUCUAUUCAAAUGUGUCAAAGAGUGGGGCAUCGAGACCAAAAUUUUUACAAUUUCGGUCGACAAUGCCUCAGCUAAUGAUGUGGCUGUCCGGUUACUGAAGGACACGUUUUCGAGGUGUAACCCCUUAGCUUGUGGUGACAAAAUUUUUCAUGUUCGAUGCUGUGCUCAUGUGCUGAAUUUGAUGGUGCAAGAUGGUCUCGGGGAGAUUCUAGACAUAAUAAAAAAUGUUCGUGAUAGUGUUGACUUUGUGGGCCGAAGAGAAAGUCGACAAAUAUUAUUUUCAGAAAUUGUGCAGCAGCUUCGACUCCCCCGAAGAAAGUUUAUUCAUGAUUGUAGGACACGGUGGAACUCUACAUUCGAGAUGUUGAACUGUGCAAUCAAAUUCAAAGAGGUUUUUCCAAUAUAUCGAGAACGAGACGUAUAGUAUUAUUGUUGUCCAUCCGAAGAAGAUUAGGAGAAAGUUGAAAAAGUAUGCAGCAUUUUAGAGACACUUUGGGCAACUACGAACAUCAUUUCAGGUAGCGACUAUCCAACUUCAAAUUUGUUUCUUCAAGAAGUUAAGAGAAUAAAGCUAGUUUUGGAUAGUAAGGCUAAUGAUGAUGAUGAUUUCGUAAGAGCAAUGGUGAGAAAGAUGAAUUCAAAUUUGAUAAGUAUUGGAGAGAAUGUAAUCUAUUAAUGGUUGUGGCUGCUGUCUUCGAGUCUCGACAGAAAAUGACUGCUAUAGAAUAUUGCUUUCCUAAACUUUUUCCACGUAGUGAAGCUCAGCAAAAUAUUGAAAAGGUUAGAAAUGCAGUCUUUGAAUUAUACAAUGAAUAUUUGCAAGCAAAUGAAUUACGUGAGGGUGGAAAUAGAAAGGAUUCUCAAGUUUCUUCAAGUAGUGUUUUCUGAAAGCAGUGCUUCUGGUUCGAGUUGGGAUGAUUUUGAUGAGUAUGUGAGGGAAUAUCAAACUGGAGCGCCUCAAGACUCUGAAUUACUCAUCUAUUUGGAAAAGGGUCCAAUCAAGAUUGAUUCAAGUGUGCCGCGACAUGAAUUUGAUUGUUUGAAUUGGUGGAAGAAUAGCAGGCUCACAUUCCCAAUUUUAUCCAAGAUGGCAGCCGAUAUCCUUGCCAUUCCUAUUACUACAAUUGCUUCUGAGGCUACAUUUAGCGUUGGAACAAGAGUAAUUGACUCUUAUAGAGCCUCACUAGCUCCUGAAAUUGUAGAAAUGCUUAUGUGUGCCGGAGAUUGGUGCCGAAACAUUCAUGGAGUGAAAAAAAGAUAAAAAAAUUGAAGGCAGCAAAAGAGAUUCUAUUUCCCAUAAAAUGAAUGUGAUAAUUGGAAAGGGCCUGCAGUUGAAAUUAGAAAGUUGGAAAGGAGUAUUGUGGAAUGGACAAGAAGUUGCUGUUUUACUACUUUAAUUGCAAAAUUUGUUUCACUUUUUUAAGCAUGGUUAUUUCUUGACAAUUGACAUUGCCUGUUGAAGACAUUCACUUGAAUGUUGAGUUGUUGACACUUUGUCUUUGUUUUUUCUAUUUGUGUGACUUGGUGGAUGUUAGUUGUCUGACUUAUCUUUGAAUUUGGAUGCUAGUUUUGAUGUUAAAAUAUGGAUGGAUGGAUUUGGAUAUUGGUUGGC